GAUGAACGCUGGCGGCGUGCCUAAUACAUGCAAGUCGAGCGAACAGACGAGGAGCUUGCUCCUCUGACGUUAGCGGCGGACGGGUGAGUAACACGUGGAUAACCUACCUAUAAGACUGGGAUAGCUUCGGGAAACCGGAGCUAAUACCGGAUAAUAUAUUGAACAGCAUGGUUCAAUAGUGAAAGACGGUUUUGCUGUCACUUAUAGAUGGAUCCGCGCCGCAUUAGCUAGUUGGUAAGGUAACGGCUUACCAAGGCGACGAUGCGUAGCCGACCUGAGAGGGUGAUCGGCCACCCUGGAACUGAGACACGGUCCAGACUCCUACGGGAGGCAGCAGUAGGGAAUCUUCCGCAAUGGGCGAAAGCCUGACGGAGCAACGCCGCGUGAGUGAUGAAGGUCUUCGGAUCGUAAAACUCUGUUAUUAGGGAAGAACAAAUGUGUAAGUAACUAUGUACGUCUUGACGGUACCUAAUCAGAAAGCCACGGCUAACUACGUG
rnacentral:rRNA from 1 species